UACGAAGGGUGCAAGCGUUACUCGGAAUUACUGGGCGUAAAGCGUGCGUAGGUGGUUCGUUAAGUCUGUCGUGAAAGCCCCGGGCUCAACCUGGGAAUGGCGAUGGAUACUGGCGGGCUAGAGUGCGGUAGAGGAGAGUGGAAUUCCCGGUGUAGCAGUGAAAUGCGCAGAUAUCAGGAGGAACACCGGUGGCGAAGGCGGGACUCUGGGCCGAUACUGACGCUGAGGAGCGAAAGCGUGGGGAGCAAACAGG
rnacentral:rRNA from 1 species